UUUUUUAAUCCAAAAGUCAGAUUUGAAAAGCAUAUAAAUACAUCCUCUUGGCAGAUAGAAACUCAAAAGGUGUUAAGUUAAAAUGCAGCUGGAAUGCUGUAGGCUGGCAGCUGUCAGAGGUGGUGGGCCACGUGGGAUUUUUUUUUUUUUUUAAUGAAUGGGAGUUUGAUUUUCCAGUGUGUUACUCAGCUGUGGAUUUUCAGAUGGGUGUGCCCUGCAGAUGAGAAUGGUCACAUUCUAACUGGUGGGUGGAGCGUGGUUUAAGAGUCUGGAGAGUCAUACAUUCUGCCUUUAGAAUUCUCUGUGUAAACAUGGUUAUAACUUGGAAAGAGCACGAGAAAGUGUUCUGUCCUGAAACUACCCAUGAUCGGUGAUCAAGACUCUUGCUCGCCUAGCUCAAGAGAAAACAGAAACCUUCUGAAAGAGAAAGUCAGAGACAGACGCUUCCCCUGACUUCUUGGAAGAAAUGACUCCAGGCCUGGACUCACUAUGCUUGGGUGCCUGCUAAGGUCAAGAGGGGGCAGCAAUGACAACAUGAAGGAGGUUUACGAUCCUGAACACUUAUGAAAUGGCCAUCAGGGGAAGGAAAAUCAGGGAUGUUCAGCUACAAUGUGAAAAUCACUAAGAGGGGACAUGGCUGAAGGUCCUUUGAUAAUCAGAAUGUGCCUUCAGUCUGACCCAGAGUCCAGGAACUGGUGAACACUCACAGCCAAGUUUCCCUGGACCAAAUGGAUUUCAACAGGGUAUAUGGUUAAGUCUGCAUGGAUCUAUCGAUAUGAAGGAAAUCAUUAGCAGUCACCAUCCAAUACACAGCCCCAUUCUGUGCUGUCUCCAUCUGAGAAUCUGCCUAGGCCAAAAGCCAUUUCUGGAAGCUGCUUCAUGCGGAGAGGUUCUUAAGAGAUGCCCUGGAGGAAUGAAGAAGUCCCAGCAUCCUCCCUGAAUUCCAUGGCACAUUUCUUCCCAAGGAUCCCUCCCUAGGUGGCUGUGAGCAUUACUGCUUCUAGUAAAGGAAGAUGCUCCAAGAACAGAGGUGGCCCCUCUCGCUUCUCCUCCCUUCUUCACUAAGCCACUGUCUUAGUAGCACCUGAGAAGUAUCAAGAGAUAUGUCAUAUCUAGGUCACUCAAAUGUCUUACUACUGUCUUUAUCUUUUAUUCUUUUCCCUGAAAUAUCUGAGAUGUGCCUCCUUUGUCACUGUAUCUCAGAAUGGACAGAUGUCAUCUGUGGGUUUUUUUCUAGAACAUUCCAGUCUACCUCCACCCCCAACACAGAGAUCUUAUUUUCAUACUAAAGCUGAGCACAAGAAUUGAGGUUGAAAACUUUCUCUUGGUAGAAGCCACAUGAUAACCAUGUUCCUUAGAUUCUGUUACAAAACAACCAUUGGCUUUAAGUGGAAACCUGAAAAUUUAGGGUAAUUACAGUAUCAAUUCAUGAUUACUGAAUGCAUUCCCUCAACUUCCUUUGUGACUGAUAUUUGGAGUCUAUUACUGUAACCUUCUCUGAAAAAAGCAUGUUGUCCCUGAAACUAGAUGUCUGUGGGACCUGAGACAUCCCACACCCCUGAAGCUUCUCAGCUAUGAAUCAUGUGGCUGCCCAAAACCGGUUUACUCUCUUCUUUCUUCUGAGUUUUUCUCUCAUAAGUUCCCUCCACUUGUAACCAGCUUCCAGAAUACCUGCCUUCAGCCCUAGCAGUAACAUGAGUCUGAAUGGAUGGGAUUUCUAUAUUAUUCUAGACCAAGCUACAAAUGAUCAGCUUCCCCACUGAGGCCCGAUGGCAGUAUUACGAGGCUUUAACUUGACGGGGGCUCACUUUGUUAAUAGAAUUCUCUCUUCAGUUGUUUGACUAUGUUAAUGUUGCUAGAAGAGGG